GACGAACGCUGGCGGCGUGCUUAACACAUGCAAGUCGAACGGAAAGGCCCUGCUUUGUGGGGUGCUCGAGUGGCGAACGGGUGAGUAACACGUGAGUAACCUGCCCUUGACUUUGGGAUAACUUCAGGAAACUGGGGCUAAUACCGGAUAGGAGCUCCUGCUGCAUGGUGGGGGUUGGAAAGUUUCGGCGGUUGGCGAUGGACUCGCGGCUUAUCAGCUUGUUGGUGGGGUAGUGGCUUACCAAGGCUUUGACGGGUAGCCGGCCUGAGAGGGUGACCGGCCACAUUGGGACUGAGAUACGGCCCAGACUCCUACGGGAGGCAGCAGUGGGGAAUAUUGCACAAUGGGCGGAAGCCUGAUGCAGCAACGCCGCGUGCGGGAUGACGGCCUUCGGGUUGUAAACCGCUUUCGCCUGUGACGAAGCGUGAGUGACGGUAAUGGGUAAAGAAGCACCGGCUAACUACGUG
rnacentral:rRNA from 1 species